CAGUCGCCGCGGUAAUCCGUAGGGUGCAAGCGUUAAUCGGAAUUACUGGGCGUAAAGCGUGCGCAGGCGGUUAUAUAAGACAGAUGUGAAAUCCCCGGGCUCAACCUGGGAACUGCAUUUGUGACUGUAUAGCUAGAGUACGGCAGAGGGGGAUGGAAUUCCGCGUGUAGCAGUGAAAUGCGUAGAUAUGCGGAGGAACACCGAUGGCGAAGGCAAUCCCCUGGGCCUGUACUGACGCUCAUGCACGAAAGCGUGGGGAGCAAACAGGAUUAGAUACCCGCGUAGUCCCUGUCUCUUAUAC
rnacentral:rRNA from 1 species